rnacentral:rRNA from 1 species
GUCCCAGCCGCCGCGGUAAUACGGAGGAUGCGAGCGUUACCCGGAUUUAUUGGGUUUAAAGGGUGCGUAGGCUGUUAUAUAAGUCAGUGGUGAAAUAUUCGGGCUCAACCGGGAUACUGCCAUUGAUACUGUAUAGCUGGAGUAUGGUUGCUGUGGGUGGAAUGUGUGGUGUAGCGGUGAAAUGCAUAGAUAUCACACAGAAUAUCGAUUGCGAAGGCAACUCACAAAGCCAUUAUUGACGCUGAUGCACGAAAGUGUGGGGAUCAAACAGGAUUAGAUACCCUGGUAGUCCACACUGUAAACGAUGAUAACUAGCUGUCGGCGAUAGAUAGUCGGUGGCUAAGCGAAAGCGAUAAGUUAUCCACCUGGGGAGUACGACCGCAAGGUUGAAACUCAAAGGAAUUGACGGGGGCCCGCACAAGCGGAGGAACAUGUGGUUUAAUUCGAUGAUACGCGAGGAACCUUACCCGGGCUCGAACGGUGCAGGAAUAUGGUAGAGAUAUCAUAGCUAGCAAUAGUCUGUAUCGAGGUGCUGCAUGGUUGUCGUCAGCUCGUGCCGUGAGGUGUCGGCUUAAGUGCCAUAACGAGCGCAACCCUUGUCGUUAGUUACCAUCAAGUAAAGUUGGGGACUCUAGCGAGACUGCCACCGUAAGGUGUGAGGAAGGGGGGGAUGACGUCAAAUCAGCACGGCCCUUACGUCCGGGGCGACACACGUGUUACAAUGGUAGGUACAGAGGGGCGCUAUCCAGUGAUGGAGUGCGAAUCUCAAAAACCUAUCUCAGUUCGGAUUGGAGUCUGCAACUCGACUCCAUGAAGUUGGAUUCGCUAGUAAUCGCGCAUCAGCCAUGGCGCGGUGAAUACGUUCCCGGGCCUUGUACACACCGCCCGUCAAGCCAUGGA